CACAGUAUCUGCUUUCAAGGGAAAUUUGCUAUUGUUAUUUUUUUUUUUUCAGGUGAAUUAUUAUGAAAGCCAUUUUCAACAUUUUAUGAAGAAUACAAAUCCCAAAUCACUCAAAAACCUAAGAGGGGACACCAGUGAUGAAAAACGUUCACCAAGUUGAAUUCUGCUUUCCUGCCUCCUUUAUAAAAGCUGGUUCACCGUGUUCUUUGUGAUUAUUGGUCUUUGGAAUGCUGAAAGGAUGAUGGAGCACUGGAGGUCCAUGAUAUGGGCUGUGUGUGAAGUGCAUGAAUACCUACUUCUUAUUGCUGAAGAAUUUAUACAAGAGAUCCUGCCUUUAUCUGGACUUGCAAAGAUGCUGUCACUAUGAUGUAACCACUGCCCUGAAUGGCGGUGUUCUUUGGAUAGCCAGUGACACUGAGGCAAUCCAUUUUGCUUUCCCAGGCCUCUGCUGCUGAGAUUCAUCAGUCAUGACAAGCAUAAACUCCAGCACCCAAAUCCAAUUUUGAGAGCAUGGCGGAUCUCAUCUUUAGCCAUCUCAUCAGGAGACACAUUCCUGUGGUAGUUAGUGUCCAUACAUCAUCACGAAACAAAAGCUACUCCACUGCAGGGUAACAGUAAGUACCAAGGAGAUAAUUUCUCUAUUUCCUUUCCUGUUGUGUGAAACCUGAUUUAUUUUACUGUUAUCUCUGUACAAUAUUCUUCUCUUUAGUU
rnacentral:lncRNA from 1 species